rnacentral:rRNA from 1 species
UUGACCUCGGAUCAGGUAGGAAUACCCGAUCAGGUAGGAAUACCCGCUGAACUUAAGCAUAUCAAUAAGCGGAGGAAAAGAAACCAACAGGGAUUGCCCUAGUAACGGCGAGUGAAGCGGCAACAGCUCAAAUUUGAAAUCUGGCUUUCGGGCCCGAGUUGUAAUUUGUAGAGGAUGAUUUUGAU